GUAUGUUGUUGAUUUGAAUCCACUACAGUGAUCAUCUCUAUGCAACGUGUUCCUGUUUGAACAUUAAGUUCUGCUUUGGUUUGUGUUUAAGGUGACCUGGGACAUACAACUGCGUGUGAUGAAACCUACAGUAUCGUCACCUAUGAACACAAGACUGAGUGACAACAGCUGCAUCAGCGCUGAGAGAGAGCACAGCAGUCACUUCAACAUCCAUCCAUUUUCUGUUGCACAUUUCUCUUUUUUCUUAACAUUAAAAACAAAAAAAAAACAAUACACAUGUUUGUAACAUGUUUGAAUGCAUGUACAAAAAUGAGCAAAAGACUGAAUGCAGCC